CUGUAUGGACCAGUUAUAUAAUAUACCGUGUGUGCUGUAUGGACCAGUUAUAUAAUAUACCGUGUGUGCUGUAUGGACCAUGGGUGUCACAUGGUGCUGUAUGUGUUAUGGGUGUCACAUGGUGCUGUAUGUGUUAUGGGUGUCACAUGGCGCUGUAUGUGUUAUGGGUGUCAUAUGAUGCUGUAUGUGUUAUGGGUGUCAUAUAAUGCUGUAUGUGUUAUGGGUGUCAUAUGAUGCUGUAUGUGUUAUGGGUGUCAUAUGAUGCUGUAUGUAUUAUGGGUGUCACAUGGUGCUGUAUGUGUUAUGGGUGUCACAUGGCGCUGUAUGUGUUAUGGGUGUCAUAUGAUGCUGUAUGUGUUAUGGGUGUCAUAUGAUGCUGUAUGUGUUAUGGGUGUCAUAUGAUGCUGUAUGUGUUAUGGGUGUCAUAUGGGUGCUGUAUGU